rfam:Echinostoma caproni strain Egypt genome assembly, scaffold: ECPE_scaffold0002162
GCACUGCUGACGAGUCCCAAAUAAGACAAAACAGCUGUCCAGUGC